UCUAAUUUCCUUUUUCUUUUGGAAUACAAAAGCAACAGAACAAUGUCCAAAUAGCUUGAAUCAUUAACAACGAUCUCAACAACAACGAUCCCAAAUUGCGACAACACUAAUAAUUCCUUCAAACAACAUCCGGCAACCCGUAUCCCGCGAAACCCAUGCCCGUUCCACUCGAUUUCAAAUGAGAAAAUCCUAGAAACUUCUAGAAAUCGAUGCAUUGGCCUCUCCAACGGUUCAACCCCGUGAAUCUCGGAUACCAUGGAAUUUUGUUUCCAAAAUUUGGUUUGCUAAUUGAAGUUUCAAAGCUGACUACGACGCAUCUCCGGUGAUGGUGAAAUUCGACAUUAGCUCGAAAGUCUUGUUUUGCUGGCCCAUAAAAGGUGAACGUCUUUCAUUUUGUUCAUAGUGUAUUCUUCUUUUUUAUUUCCCCUCUUGUUUGUUUUUCAUUUUGUUUGUUCACUGAGGACAUGACCCUAGAUAAGAAGAUCUGGAGAAUGCAAAUUAGGGCAGAAGGCUAGGGUCAGUUUGGGUCGCUAGUGUAGGAAAUUACUUAGUGGGGGUAUUAUUCUUGUUAUGAUACCUUGUUUCAUGAUUUAUUAUGAAUUUGUUUACUUUUCUCUGUUUACUAUUACUUGUGGGUGUCGUAUUUAUAUUAUGUCAUCUUGUUCCAUGCUUUACUAUGAAUUUGUUUAGUAUUCCGUGUGUCGAAUCGGGGGUCUAUCGGAAACCGUCUUUCUACUUCUUUAGAGGUAGAGGUAUGGACUGCGUACAUCUUACCCUCCCCAGACCUCACUAUGUGGGAAUACACUGGGUUUGUUGUUGUUGUUGUUGUUAUUCUAAGGAUGUAGUUUAGUAAUCGAAUCCUGGUAUUUUAUUGUGAUGUUGAUACUGCUUGCAUUUUCUCAAGUUCACUAUUCUAUUACUGUUUUGUAUUUGACUCCCUCGUUCCUUCCCAUUUUCCUUCCCUUUUUGUGUCUGUGUAUCUGUUACGUAUAAGUGUGUACAUGAAUUGCGUUGUUGCACAUGCUGAGGUAAAUUUAUAUGCAUAAACAUGUAGUGAUAAUGUGCAUAUUUUGCUAAAAAGGGGGGUGGGCAAAAGGGGUUCCGUCGCUAAGUGUUGUUUCUGUCAAAAAAAUUAUAAAAUUUUCUCAUCGUUUGUUAUCGUUGAUGUUAAAAAAUCCAUGUAGUUUGCAGAUUCUCUCUUGAACUUGGUUUGUACCAUUCUCUUGACUGACUGCUUAGUAUCGGUGCGUACUGAUUUAGCUAUUGCUCGUUUAAAUGGUCUUUUUCGAAUAGUCAUAUUGUUUUAUAGCACUUUUGCUGUCCUUCUUGGUUCAUCUAUCCUUAGACCAUCGUAGGUGUAGUCUCGAGGUUGGCAUGUUCAUUUAUAUCUACAGAAUUUGCUCUGAUUUUAGUAAAUACAUUCUGUCCACCCGCUUAGUUCUAGUUAAUUUAAAUGGUUACUUUGUGUUCAGUUGGAAUAUCUCUUUAUUCUCUAGUAGCUAAUUGCCUUGACAUUGAUCAUUUGUCUAAACAAAAGUCUUGUGUGAUGACAAAUCAGUAGGGUUAUUCUUAAACCAAGGAAUUACAAAAGCCUUGAUCUUUAAAUGUCCGGAGAAUCUUUCUAACUAUUUCUAGAUCAGUGACUGUCAAGAUGAAUAAAAGUUGACCCUUUGAAGAUAUAUCCAACACAAAUUAUUUGAUAUGCCAGUUGGAGAUAGUAAUUUGAAAAGACUUACUACUAAGUCCAUUCUCAUCAGUUCAACAUCAUUGCCCAUGCCUGCAUUUUAAUAAGUUAGUUCUACGUCCUGACCAGCACUUACUCUCCUAAAUGUGAAAAUUGAUUCUCUCAGGUUCUCUUUUGAACUACCUCGGGUAUAAGUCUUCUAAAUGUGCAUAAUUUGUAGUUUGAUUAUAAUAUGUUUACUAUGACCAAAUCUGUUAAAAAAUAUUAAUCCUUUUCUCUUUAUUUUUUGUGCAUGUGAAUGCGAUGUGUCUGAGUUCACCAUGAACUCUUGAUUGCAAUUUUUCCAUCGAGUCAAUUUCUAGAAAAGCCCAACAUUGAUCUCAUGGCAUACGGACGCGAGAAGAAUAGACUAAAAAGCUCAUUUUUUAAGCGACGACGAAGCUCGAGCCUCAUUUCUGCUUAUUUAUUUAUUGUCAUUAUUUAUUUGUUUGUUGUCUUAUUUAUUUGUUUCAUUCAUUUGGGCCACGAAGCCAAAGUUGUAUUUAAUACAGGUAGAGCAAGAUUCGAGUUAAAGGCUCAGAAACUAGACUAGGACAGAUAAAAUGGGUCUAAAGCCCGAUUAGACUAGGACAGGUCUCGUUGAUUUGGGUCAAUGGCCUAAGUUUCUUACUUCCUCCCCUUCCCCCUCUUUUUUAUGCU